AACGAACGCUGGCGGCAGGCUUAACACAUGCAAGUCGAACGCCCCGCAAGGGGCGUGGCAGACGGGUGAGUACCGCGUGGGAAUCUACCCAUCCCUACGGAAUAACGCAUGGAAACGUGUGCUAAUACCGUAUACGCCCUACGGGGGAAAGAUUUAUCGGGGAUGGAUGAGCCCGCGUUGGAUUAGCUAGUUGGUGGGGUAAAGGCCUACCAAGGCGACGAUCCAUAGCUGGUCUGAGAGGAUGAUCAGCCACAUUGGGACUGAGACACGGCCCAAACUCCUACGGGAAGCAGCAGUGGGGAAUAUUGGACAAUGGGCGCAAGCCUGAUCCAGCCAUGCCGCGUGAGUGAUGAAGGCCUUAGGGUUGUAAAGCUCUUUCACCGGAGAAGAUAAUGACGGUAUCCGGAGAAGAAGCCCCGGCUAACUUCGUG
rnacentral:rRNA from 1 species